UUGAGCAGUCCUACAUCAACACGAACCA
rnacentral:piRNA from 1 species